AUCCACGGCCAUGCUACCCAGAACAAGCCUGAUCUCGGAAGCUAAGCAGGGUUGGACCUGGUUAGUACUUGGAUGGAAGACCACCUAGAAAGACCAGGUGCUGUAGACG
rnacentral:rRNA from 1 species